CAGCACCCCGAGUGGUCGGGACGAUUAUUGGGCCUAAAGCAUCCGUAGCCGGUUCUACAAGUCUUCCGUUAAAUCCACCUGCUUAACAGAUGGGCCGCGGAGGAUACUAUAAGACUAGGAGGCAGGAGAGGCAAGCGGUACUCAGUGGGUAGGGGUAAAAUCCGUUGAUCCAUUGAAGACCACCAGUGGCGAAGGCGGCUUGCCAGAAUGCGCUCGACGGUGAGGGAUGAAAGCUGGGGGAGCAAACCGGAUUAGAGACCCGUGUAGUCC
rnacentral:rRNA from 1 species